rfam:Schistosoma rodhaini strain Burundi genome assembly, scaffold: SROB_scaffold0002611
AUCCAUCUAACGAGUCCUAAAUAGGACGAAACGCGCGUUCUGGAU